rnacentral:lncRNA from 1 species
GAUUACUUGAAUGUUGGAGUGAGUUGGCAGCCAAGAUGGCUACCUCCCCUCCCUUCUCCAGGAAGCCGGGCUUGUCCUGCUGUAUUUUCCCUCUUUGGAACAGCAGGCAAUUUUUAGAAGUUUUUUCUUGAGCCUGUUGGUGCCCAAGCAUGGAUUCUGAAAUUCAGAGAGAAUGAAAUGACUGAAGGGAAGUUGAGCCACCACAUUAAAGGAAGGGAAAAUGCAGUUGCAGGUGAAUUCUGGGAGUAGAAGAGAGAAUAAAAGUGAAUAAAAGAACAGCUGCAAACCUCCACGAACUCAGUGGACCUUGGGAGAAGAAUGAGAAGAGUAACAGGCACUGCAACAUUGGAAAGAGUGCUGCACUUGGCAUUUGACAUCCCGGCUCUGCUUCUCAUGAACUGGGUCCCUUUGCAAGCAGCUUCAUCUCUGUGAGUUUCAGAUUCCUCAUUUGUAAAUUGUAGAUAAAUCACUACCU